rnacentral:rRNA from 1 species
AUUGAACGCUGGCGGCAUGCCUUACACAUGCAAGUCGAACGGCAGCAUAGGAGCUUGCUCCUGAUGGCGAGUGGCGAACGGGUGAGUAAUAUAUCGGAACGUGCCCUAGAGUGGGGGAUAACUAGUCGAAAGAUUAGCUAAUACCGCAUACGAUCUACGGAUGAGAGUGGGGGAGCGCAAGACCUCAUGCUCCUGGAGCGGCCGAUAUCUGAUUAGCUAGUUGGUGGGGUAAAAGCCUACCAAGGCGACGAUCAGUAGCUGGUCUGAGAGGACGACCAGCCACACUGGGACUGCGACACGGCCCAGACUCCUACGGGAGGCAGCAGUGGGGAAUUUUGGACAAUGGGGGCAACCCUGAUCCAGCAAUGCCGCGUGAGUGAAGAAGGCCUUCGGGUUGUAAAGCUCUUUUGUCAGGGAAGAAACGGUUCUGGAUAAUACCCAGAGCUAAUGACGGUACCUGAAGAAUAAGCACCGGCUAACUACGUGCCAGCCGCCGCCGUAA